rnacentral:rRNA from 1 species
GAUGAACGCUGGCGGCGUGCCUAAUACAUGCAAGUCGAGCGAAGCGGGGACGGGUGAGUAACCCGUGGAGAACCUCCUAUAAGACUGGGAUAACAUCGGGAAACCGGAGCUAAACCGGAUAUUUAUAGAUGGGACCGCGCUGCAUUUGCUAGUGGGUAAGGUAACGGCAUACCAAGGCAACGAGGCAUAGCCGAACGGGGAGUGUGACCGGCCACACUUGACCUGAGUCACGGUCCAGACUCCUACGGGAGGCAGCAUGAGGGAAUCUUCCGCAAUGGGCGAGAGGCUGACGGCGCAAUGCCGCGUGAGGGAUGAAGGUCUUCGGAUCGUAAAACUCUGUUAUGAGGGACGCGGUACCUAAUCAGAAAGCCACGGCUUACUUCGUGCCAGCCGCCGCGGUAAUUC